rnacentral:lncRNA from 1 species
CUGGAACGAAGCCGGGUCCGGCUGCAUUUUCUCAAGUCCCAAUAAUGAGAAGCAGACAAACUAGGAAGAAGGGAAUUUAUUACUGUAACUGGAUACAGUGAGAAGGCCAGAGGUAUAAAAUGGACUAUAACAUGAGAACAAAUAACUACGACAUUGUGCUACAAUCUACAGCAGGAAGACAGAUAACAGUGCAGAAGACAGAUAAUAGUGAGAAAGAAAAAGAAAGAUGAAAAUACACUCAAAAAUCAUAGCCCUUCUUUUUCAGUGUAGGCAAAAAAAUUCUCAAUGCAGCAAAUGGUAUGAGGUUCAAUAAUCUACACAGA